CUACGGGCCGCUGCAGUCGAGAAUAUUCCACAAUGGGCGAAAGCCUGAUGGAGCGACGCCGCGUGCGGGAUGAAGGUCUUCGGAUCGUAAACCGCUUUUCUAAGGGAAGAAUUUCGAUGACGGUACCUUAGGAAUAAGAGGUUGCUAACUACGUGCCAGCAGCAGCGGUAAUACGUAGACCUCAAGCGUUAUCCGGAUUUAUUGGGCGUAAAGGGUGGGUAGGCGGAUAUGAUAGUCAGAUGUUAAAUCGGGGAGCUCAACUCUCCGGCUGCAUUUGAAACGUCAUAUCUAGAGACAGGUAGAGGCAAACGGAACUCAUGGUGUAGCAGUGGAAUGCGUUGAUAUCAUGGGGAACACCAAAGGCGAAGGCAGUUUGCUGGGCCUUGUCUGACGCUGAGCCACGAAAGCGUGGGUAGCGAACGGGAUUAGAUACCCGCGUAGUC
rnacentral:rRNA from 1 species